ensembl:lncRNA
AUUUCUCCAGUUGGAAGCAACCAACUAGCAGGAAGAAGGAAAGUCGUUGGCACUCAUAACUGGAAAAGUGCCAGAAGUGCAAUCACAAUCCAAACCCGCCAACAGUGCCAUCAGGACUCUGCUCCCAAGAGUCAGCUCCAGUGGCUCCCAGCGGCUCCUAUUCAUUGCUCAACUCCUGGAGAAAGAAGAUCUCUUACCAGUGGCUCCAGCAAAAGCCCCAGGAAUCCUAAAUCUCAUGGGUCUCCUGUAACUUAAACGUCACUCCCUGAGCCAAUCGCUGACAGAUUUGCCCAGCAGAGAGAACUGGGGGACUGGCAGAAUAGAGGUGAAGGUGCCUGGAGGGCAGGGAAGGCUGUGUACGACGGUGGGGCACCCCAGAGUUACAAGGAGAGGUCUGGUCGUCAGAGAGAAUGUACUGUCUGGUUGGAGGAGGACCGUCACGUGCUGCUCGUCAGGAACCGGGCUGUAGAAUCCGCUGCUGAGGAUUCUGCAGGCCCCAUCGCCGAACUCCAGAAUUGACCCCGUGGUUCAGAUAAAAACUGAAGGAAGCCCUUAUUUAUUCUGCGGCCUCUCUGGCUCGAUCAGCAGGCCUGCCCAUGGCCUCGGGCCCAGAAGAACCGGUCUUCCCUCUUAGCUCCAAUCCCUUCAGGGGCGGAAAAUCACACAGCAAGGUUCGUAUUCCCGUGUUGUUGCAUUUUAUUUUGUUUUUAAGCUCUGAUCCUUCAUAAGGAAGUUGGCAUUUCUGAGCUAUUUUCCAUCAUGUGUAAUUUAAUAGAAAUGCCUUAUCUCUGUAGGGGGACGACUGAGGACUCCAGGCAUGGGGAUGGUUGGGGAGGGCUGGGGAGGCAGUGAUAGGGCCUGAGCAACCUAAUCUAAAAGAACAGGACAGGAACACAAAGAGAGCCCACCGUUGUUUCUCUUAGGCCAGAUUCCAUCCAUUAGAUUGAACGAACCCACAGCAUGCCAAUGACAGAAGCUUCUGUAACUUCCCAGUGAGCUAAUAAACUUCAGCAGGGUUCCAGGACUCCAAACCUCAUCAUCCCUAUGGUAAUCUUGGAGCAAUUCAUCAUUCAUCAACCCAUGGCCAGCAGUGAGCCCCUUUAAAUUCACUUUUAGCCGAUUGAAAUAAAAACAAAGCCCUGAAGAUAUUCUGAUGGAAUAGGCACACCUAAAAAUAGCUCGUGGAAUUCUAAAUUCUAAAUCCCAAAUUUCUGGAGCGUGAUUGAGCAAUUAUCUAUAAAACUGUUUAUACUUUUUGAAUCAUUUCACCUAGGGGAAUUUACCCCCAAAUAACCCCAAUGAAAUCAAUAUAAUUUGUAAAACAGAUUUCAUGGCAGCACAAAUUAUACAGUGAAAUUUGGAAACAGGCUCAUAAGAUAUGGUCUAUCAACAGGUUUGAAUACUGUGCUCAUUCAUGUAGAAAACAGUCUUAAUGACCAAGGACUGGGCUAGGCCUGGGGAUAUACAAACAUAAAUGUGAUCGGUCUGCUCCCAAGAGGCUCAUGACCAGGUCAGGGGUGUCCAAUUUCCUUGGUUCAAAUCCUGCUCCAUUACUUUCUAUCCAGACACCGUGGGGAAAGUUACCGAUGCCCUCUGAGCCUGUUUCCUCAUAUGAAAAAUAAAAAGAAUAAUAGUAAUCACCUAAUAGGUAAGUUAGGAGGGUAAUGCUUAUUAAGCACC